GACGAACGCUGGCGGCGUGCCUAAUACAUGCAAGUCGAGCGGAAGUUGGAGAGCUUGCUCUUCAACUUUAGCGGCGGACGGGUGAGUAACACGUGGGCAACCUGCCCUGCAGAUCGGGAUAACUCCGGGAAACCGGUGCUAAUACCGAAUAGUUUUCGCCACCUCCUGGUGGCGUACGGAAAGACGGUUUCGGCUGUCACUGCAGGAUGGGCUCGCGGCGCAUUAGCUAGUUGGUGGGGUAACGGCCCACCAAGGCAACGAUGCGUAGCCGACCUGAGAGGGUGAUCGGCCACACUGGGACUGAGACACGGCCCAGACUCCUACGGGAGGCAGCAGUAGGGAAUCUUCCGCAAUGGACGAAAGUCUGACGGAGCAACGCCGCGUGAGUGACGAAGGUUUUCGGAUCGUAAAACUCUGUUGUGAGGGAAGAACAAGUACCAACUAACUACUGGUACCUUGACGGUACCUCACCAGAAAGCCACGGCUAACUACGUGCCAGCCGCCGCCGUAAAAC
rnacentral:rRNA from 1 species